ACAGUUCUAGUAUGCGCUGAUGGUAAGCUAAGAGUGAUAACAUUUUUCUUUACUCCAUGACACAAGCAGUGUUUUAUUUAACAAUCAUCCAUGACAUAAACGUGCCUGAAGUUGAUUUUAAAAAUUACAGUAUUAGAUCAUAAGAUAAAAACCAGCAGCACAUUUUUAGUCACUGAAAAUGAAGGACUUGAUUCCCCCACAGGUCUCAGUGUUUUUAGUAAUUGAUUCUAUGCAUUUUAUAUAAAUAGAAAUAUAUAUAACACACGUUACAAAAAGGAGUGGACUGAGAUUAACUUAAAGACGAUUUACAGGCGACACGUCUGUGGAGUCAGUAAGUAACUGCUGCCCGCCACGGCCUCCUCAUGCGAGCUAAUGGCCUCACUUCUUGGAAAAGAUUCAGUGCUGGCGAUGGAUGGAUGUUUCAGAAUCACCAAGUCCACAGAUUGAUUAUGUCACAACAGGGAGAAAAGUGGCCUGUAAGCUGUGCUUACUGCCUAAGAAGAUGCUCUUUCUUUCUGCUUUUAAGUUCAUGAGUGGAGCAGCCUUGUUAAGUUGACUGUAGAGGGUGACAGUCAGCAUUUUCAUACCGCAGUAAUGCUUUCUAAAGGCAUGUCACUGUCGAGUGCACUGCUCUUAAUUCACUGCAAUCAUGGGCUUUUUAAUGUAUUUCAAAACUUAAGACUUCAAGAUCCCCCUGAAGUCUAAUUUUAGCAAAUUGGCAGAAGGAUCUGGAUUUUACCCCCUCUAAAACUAUUUUAAUAGUUUUAUUUUAAUGUUUUCUUAAAUAAAACACUGCAUGAUUUCCAAGUUGCAUAUUUGUGUGCUAAUUUUGCAAGUGAAUUUUUAAUCAGUUAUUUUGAUAUUUAGGUUUUUUCCUUCAGGGUAUUUAAUAUAUUACUCUAUUAGCAAAUCUUUUCAUUUUAAUAUCUCUACUGCUGAUUUUAAACUUGGCUUGUGUUCUGUAAAAGUUAAAUCAUACACUGCAAGGUGUAGGAAGAUUCAUUUUAAUGAUCCCAAUGACAGAUUCGAUGACUUAGUUUGAACUAUUAACUGUUGAACAGUUUUACUCGCGUGGCUUCUGUCUUGGUUUGAUUUGCUUUGACUUCUGUGCUACACUAGUUUGCCAUGUAGCAGUUGCACUGUGCAAUAUUACAAUAAGGACUGGGAAAACUUUUAUGGAUGUAAUGUCUAUUACAGUUUGCGAUAGUAUUUCUCUCUAGUUCUCAGUGAUUUAAAUGUGACCAAGCCUUCUGUACUUUGUCACAAAAAGCGGGUUUUCCAGGUGACUAUUUUGGUGAGUGUCAAAAUAAGAAUUUAUGGUGUAUUACUGUUGAUUCACUUUGAAUUAAAAUAUAUAUAUUGCAGC
rnacentral:lncRNA from 1 species